rnacentral:rRNA from 1 species
GACGAACGCUGGCGGCGUGCUUAACACAUGCAAGUCGAACGGAAAGGCCCUGCUUUUGUGGGGUGCUCGAGUGGCGAACGGGUGAGUAACACGUGAGUAACCUGCCCUUGACUUUGGGAUAACUUCAGGAAACUGGGGCUAAUACCGGAUAGGAGCUCCUGCUGCAUGGUGGGGGUUGGAAAGUUUCGGCGGUUGGGGAUGGACUCGCGGCUUAUCAGCUUGUUGGUGGGGUAGUGGCUUACCAAGGCUUUGACGGGUAGCCGGCCUGAGAGGGUGACCGGCGACAUUGGGACUGAGGUAGGGCCCAGACUCCUACAGGAGGCAGCAGAGGGAAAUAUGGCACAAUGGGCGGAAGCCUGAUGCAGAAACGCCGCGUGCGGGAUGACGGCCUUCGAGUUGUAAACCGCUUUCGACUGUGACGAAGCGUGAGUGACGGUAAUGGGUAAAAAAGCACCGGCUAACUACGUG